GACGAACGCUGGCGGCGUGCUUAACACAUGCAAGUCGAACGGAAAGGCCCUGCUUUUGUGGGGUGCUCGAGUGGCGAACGGGUGAGUAACACGUGAGUAACCUGCCCUUGACUUUGGGAUAACUUCAGGAAACUGGGGCUAAUACCGGAUAGGAGCUCCUGCUGCAUGGUGGGGGUUGGAAAGUUUCGGCGGUUGGGGAUGGACUCGCGGCUUAUCAGCUUGUUGGUGGGGUAGUGGCUUACCAAGGCUUUGACGGGUAGCCGGCCUGAGAGGGUGACCGGCGACAUGGGGACUGAGAGACGGCCCAGACGCCUACGGGAGGCAGAAGUGGGGAAUAUUGCACAAUGGGCGGAAGCCUGAGGCAGCAACGCCGCGUGCGGGAUGACGGCCUUCGGGUGGUAAACCGCUGUCGCCUGUGACGAAGCGGGAGUGACGGUAAUGGGUAAAGAAGCACCGGCUAACUACGUG
rnacentral:rRNA from 1 species